CGAUCUAUCAGCAUAAUCCUCACAAGGAGCAUUGCGCUGAUUUCAGACGAGAUGGACAGAAACUGCUGUCUUGGCGCUGCAGAGGAAACAUCCGCAUGUGCUUCGAAGUGGGUGUUCACUCCAUCUGCUCUCCGGGUUGUCUGCACCGCCAGAACAAUGGGGAGCAUGUGCAUGGAGAGCCGGCUGCAAGGUAUCUGUCAAAUUCAGUGAGUUCUCCUGGAAGGCAUUUGUUCCUGAAUUCCUGGGACUGUUGAGGGUUCUAGGGACACACCCAGAAGAUGAUUGCAAGCCAGGAAGAGUUUUCACUGGAAACCCACCUUGAUCUUGGACCUCUGCCUCCAGAACUGGGAAAGCAAGAAUGCCAUCCCCCACUACCACAAAUUACGCAGCCAAGUUUUCCACAUUUGGAGAAAUCACAGGGGCCAGUACAACUGGAUAAGUCUUGCCCUGGGAAAACCACCUUUGUGGUCAUGGUCUCUCCUCUGCCAGGAACUGAAGGGGCCCUUCGCAAGAUGCCCAGCAGGUGAGAGAACUGCCUGCUCCCCAGGCGUGAUAGCUAAGAAGCAGUUAUCGCUCAGCUCUCCAGUCUCCACUCUGAAGCCUGUGAUGCCAGCGAGAGGAUGAAGCCAUACCCAUUCCACAAGCUGACUCCCCUUGAGCUCUACCCAUACAGAGCACUAGAGGUAGAAGGUGACUCCUCCUUCCUCUCUCUGAGUAUGAUAACUCCUGGAGUAUGUUCAGCCUGCACCACCAGUACCUUCUUGGGACAACAGCUGAAUUCAUUUUGCAGCUUUCCCAACAGUGUGCAACUAUUGUCACCUCACAUCGUUCUUUCCCCGCUCCCCAAACAAAGGUACCAGCACUAGGUGAACAAUGCCCUUCCCUGGGGUCUAAGAUUCAACACCAGAGGUCCCUCCCUCAAGAUUCUAAGUGUGAAUAGUUCCAGCCUCUGCCUUUCCCUACCGGCCCAAGGUGGUGACAGUAUUUGUUUAUUUGCAUCCCCAACACUGAUUUAAUCAUCACUUCGUUAUUUUGGUUGCCUGGUUAAUUCCUCAUAUUCAGUUCUCUGUUCAAAUAAAUGAUUGAUGUGGCUCUUCCUCCUGAAUGGACUCUGAUGAAAUAAAUGU